rnacentral:rRNA from 1 species
UACGUAGGGGGCGAGCGUUGUCCGGAUUUAUUGGGCGUAAAGAGCGUGUAGGCGGCCAGACAGGUCCGUUGUGAAAACUGGAGGCUCAACCUCCAGCUGUCGAUGGAAACCGUUUGGCUAGAGUCCGGAAGAGGAGAGUGGAAUUCCCGGUGUAGCGGUGAAAUGCGCAGAUAUCGGGAAGAACACCGGUGGCGAAGGCGGGUCUCUGGGCAUUAACUGACGCUGAGGAGCGAAAGCAUGGGGAGCGAACAGG